rnacentral:rRNA from 1 species
GUGGGGAAUAUUGGGCAAUGGGCGCAAGCCUGACCCAGCAACGCCGCGUGAAGGAAGAAGGCUUUCGGGUUGUAAACUUCUUUUACCAGGGACGAAACAAAUGACGGUACCUGGUGAAUAAGCCACGGCUAACUACGUGCCAGCAGCCGCGGUAAUACGUAGGUGGCGAGCGUUAUCCGGAUUUAUUGGGUGUAAAGGGCGUGUAGGCGGGACAGCAAGUCAGAUGUGAAAACCAGAGGCUCAACCUCUGGCCUGCAUUUGAAACUGUUGUUCUUGAGUGUCGGAGAGGUAAUCGGAAUUCCGUGUGUAGCGGUGAAAUGCGUAGAGAUACGGAGGAACACCAGUGGCGAAGGCGGAUUACUGGACGAUAACUGACGCUGAGGCGCGAAAGCGUGGGGAGCAAACAGGAUUAGAAACCCGUGUAGUCC